ensembl:snoRNA U3 Small nucleolar RNA U3
AAGACUGUACUUUUAGAGAUCAUUUCUAUAGUUUUUGACUUGAGAAAUGUGUUUCUAGAGUGUAUGGUCUCGCUAACCACGAUGAUUAGUUGAGAUGUUCCCUUUUGAGCAUGAAAAUGACAGACAACUGUGACUUUGUCAUGUGUUUUGUUAUUGAUGACUGUUCAUUGUUUAUUUUUGGAGCUUUGACAAAGGGAAUAUGAUCUGAGUGGU